rfam:Peniophora sp. CONT PENSPscaffold_53_Cont97, whole genome shotgun sequence.
GGCCGCCUGGCGAAAUGGCAUCGCGUCUGACUACGAUUUCCGUAUUGUAAUCAGGAGAUUGCAGGUUCGACCCCUGCGGUGGUCA